UUAUAUACAGGGUGUAUCAAAAAACCUGCAAACCUUUGAAAUACAAUGUUUUUAGAAUUUGCAUGAUUCGGAAGUAAUUGAUCCCAAGCGUGCGUAAACACAAUAGUUGACCCAUUCGCAGUCGAACUGAUAAUUAGUUUUCUGCAUUACAAAUAACUUUGUGUUAUUCUAAUUUCUAUCAACGCGGUGAAUUAGAAUGUAUUUUCAAAUCCCAGGAGCAAAAUAAGUAGCACAGACAUUGAAAUGCUAGUAAGCAGCAGAAUUAUGCAAAUUAUAGUGCUUGCAGG
rnacentral:lncRNA from 1 species